UACGUAGGGGGCAAGCGUUAUCCGGAAUUACUGGGUGUAAAGGGUGAGUAGGCGGCAUGGUAAGCCUGAUGUGAAAGCCUUGGGCUUAACCCGAGGAUUGCAUUUGGAACUAUCAAGCUAGAGUACAGGAGAGGAAAGCGGAAUUCCUAGUGUAGCGGUGAAAUGCGUAGAUAUUAGGAAGAACACCAGUGGCGAAGGCGGCUUUCUGGACUGAAACUGACGCUGAGGCACGAAAGCGUGGGGAGCGAACAGG
rnacentral:rRNA from 1 species